GGCCAUAUGACGUUGAAACACCAGUUCUCAUAUGAUCACCAAAGUUAAGCAUUGUCAAGCCUGGUCAGUACCAAGAUAGGUGACUGCUUGAGAAUACCAAGUGCU
rnacentral:rRNA from 1 species